rnacentral:rRNA from 1 species
UUGAAAAAUUUUUAUUUUAAAAGAAAAAUUAAUUAUUUGUACCUUGUGUAUCAGGGUUUAUUAAAUAAUUAAUAAUUAUUUAUUGAUUUCGAUUUUAUAAGAGUUAAUAAUUUAUUAAAGUUAAUGUAAUAAAAUUAUUUUAAAUAAAUUAUUAGAAAUGAAAUGUUAUUCGUUUAUAAAGAUAUCUAGUUUUUUUAGAAAUAAAUUUAAUUUAAAAAUUUUUAAUUUUGUUAAUUAUUUUAUUAAUUAAUAAAUUUUUAAAUUUUAAUAUUUUAAGGGAUAAGCUUUAAAAUAAAUUAUUAUAAAUUAUUAAAUAAUAAUUAAAAAUAUAUGCAUAGAAUUAGUAAUUAUUAUUAAAUUUGUUAUAAAUUAUUUAUAUUUAUUUAUAAAAAUAUAUUAUUUAUUUAAAUUUUAAUUAUUUAUAAAAAUAUUUUUUUUAAUUUAAUUUAAAAAGAAAUAAUGAUAAAAUUAGUAUAUAUUUUAUGUUUAAAUAUUUUUAUUUGAUAAGUUUAUAUAAAGAACUCGGCAAAUAUUUUACUCGCCUGUUUAACAAAAACAUGUCUUUUUGAGUUAUUUUUAAAGUCUAACCUGCCCAAUGAAUUUAAAUUAAAUGGCCGCAGUAUUUUGACUGUGCAAAGGUAGCAUAAUCACUAGUCUUUUAAUUGAAGGCUUGAAUGAAUGGUUGGACGAAGUAUAAUCUGUUUCAUUUAAAUUUAUUAUAGAAUUUUAUAUUUUAGUAAAAAAGCUAAAAUAUUUUUAAAAGACGAGAAGACCCUAUAAAUCUUUAUAAUUUAUUUUUUUUUUAUUUUUUUGAUUAGUUUUGUUUAAAUAAUUUAAAUUAUUUUGUUGGGGUGAUAUUAAAAUUUAAAAAACUUUUAAUUAAUUUUUUUUUCAUUAAUUUAUGUUUUAUUGAUCCAUUAAUAAUGAUUAUAAGAAUAAGUUACUUUAGGGAUAACAGCGUAAUUUUUUUGGAGAGUUCUUAUUGAUAAAAAAGUUUGCGACCUCGAUGUUGGAUUAAGAUAUAAUUUUAGGUGUA